ACGUUGGUAAUUUUUCAAAAGCAUACUUUUGUAAGUAUAUAGAAGUGAAACAAUGAGUGUUAAAAAUUCAAGUGCCGCUUUCACGGUAUGAUGUUUCUGGCAGUUGCAUAUGUUGCAAGAAACAUACGCUAUUUACAAAAAUCGUGUUUUGCUUGUGGCAACAUCGGCGAGUGCAAAAAAUAGACCAUUUGAACGACUUUGGGACUGAACUCUUAACAAAGUCAUAAUUUACAAAUUUUUUAAUCCAGCAUCCAUAAAAAUCCGGAAAAAUAUCAUGGAUAUUUUGCACCACCUAGAUAAACCAUCCAUAACGAGCCAAAUAGCAAAAGCACUGGUCAUUUUUCACUUGAACGAAAAGUUUCCCCGCCUUGAUAAUAAAAUCGGAGUCGCCGAACGCGAUAUUUAACAGUGUUGUUUACCUCUAAUAAAUUCCAGACUCUGCUCGAUAAAAA